AUGCUGCUGCGGCUGCUUCCCCCUCCCCUUCCCCUUAAAACCGGGCUGGGGAGCGGCACCGUGCCCCGCGACACGCGUCCUCCGACCUCCUCUUCCUCGCUCCCAGCCGCUGCCUUCAUCCCCCCCGGCCCGCAGCAGAGGGAGAGCGCGGCAACGCUGCAGGUAUUGGGAAGAGGGGGAAGAGAGGAGCAGCCCACGCCGAGAUCCCCGUGCCCUGUGGACCUUUUGGGGCUGGGGGGCUCAUUCCCAACCCCGCCUGCUGCUGGCAGGGGCCACCUCGUGCUGUCCCCAUGGGAAGGUGGUGGCCGAGCCGGGAUCCCCCUGUGGUGCGAGUGCCGGCACCGGGGGGUGGUGGAGGGGUUCGUUGAGGGGGUCUGUGAUGAGGAAUUGGGGUCUUUGGCCAUGGGAAGGGUUAGGAUGGGUCCUGCUGGCAUGGCAAUGGGGCUGUGGUGGGGACUGGGACAGCACCAGCCCGUGCGCCCCCCUGUAGGGUUGUGGCACCACACUCCCCAAACACCUUGGGGUGGCCAAGGGGCUGUGCUCCGCUGGGCUCUGCACCACCACCGUCACCCCGAGGGUCCUGCCAGCCCCCGGCCGGGGAUGGUUCAAGUACAGCACCAGCGUGAUGCCCACAGGCUGCUCACAUUUCCAGCUCCCCCCCUGCCCAGGCACUUCGCACUCACUUCUCUUCUCCUUUCUCCAGCCGGGCGCCGCCGAUCCGGGCGCAUCAGCAAUUUUCCUCCUGAUUCAGCCACGGGGCGGUUUUGUAACCCGGCGUUGUGCAAAGCCGGGAUCGCAGCAGGGCCCCAAUUCCUCUUUUUAGCCCUUGCCGUACGACCCCGUCCCGGAACACUUGGGGUUUGGGGGGGGGGGGGAAGAAAUCACCACCUGCGUGGGACGUCGCGGGGUGCCCCCAGAGGUGCCACUUCUCGUUGGGCUGUCCCAGCUCACACACUUGCAGUGGCUUUGCAGUUCUGCACCCAUUUCUGGACGGUUUCACAACCCUCAGUGCCCCCCGCAAGGCUGUGGAGCAGCUGGGAAGGGGGCAUCAAGGGGGAAACCCCAUUUUUCCCAGGCACGGAGCCCCCCUGCCUCCUCGCACCUCCGCUCAUCCCGGAGCGAUUCGGGACGGGCCGAUCCCUUCCCGGGAGCGCGCCGCCGGAUCCGGCCCCCCCCUUGGUGCAUGGGUCCACAGCUGGACGAGCAGCUGGGGACAGCCAGGACCUGGCCAGCACGGCGCUGGGGGCGGCUCGGAGCCGUGCACCUCGGGGGCGUCGGGGGCCAACACGUGCCUGGCUCGGGCUGGCCCCGUGGCUGCAGUCCCCUUGGGGGUGCGCUCACGUGCCGCGCCGUGGCUCUGCUGCGCGCCCCCGUGCUGGCCACGGAUGUUGCUCUUUGGCUUCCUUGCUGGCUGGGUGUCCCCCGUCCACCCUGAGAUUCAUUUUUGGGCUGUUUUCCUCCGUUCCCACUGCUGUGGGGUGA
rnacentral:lncRNA from 1 species